rnacentral:rRNA from 1 species
CCGGUUAAGGAACUAGGCAAAUUAAGUCCGUAACUUAGGGAAAAGGACUGCCACUGGUUGUGAGGGCGACUAGCUUGUCUGAGCGAUUGGUGGUCGCAGCGAAAUGGCUCUGCCGACUGUUUAACAAAAACACAGGUCUCUGCGAAAGCGAAAGCUGACGUAUAGGGGCUGACGCCUGCCCAGUGCCGGAAGGUUAAGGGGAGAUGUGAUGAGCAUUGAACCGAAGCCCCGGUGAACGGCGGCCGUAACUAUAACGGUCCUAAGGUAGCGAAAUUCCUUGUCGGGUAAGUUCCGACCCGCACGAAAGGCGUAACGAGCAGAGCACUGUCUCAACAAGGGACCCGGCGAAGUUGAAAUAGCGGUGAAGAUGCCGUUUACCCGCAGCAGGACAAAAAGACCCCGUGGAGCUUUACUGUAGCUUGACAUUGAGUUAGGGCUUUGUCUGUGUAGGAUAGGUGGGAGGCUGUGAAGCUGGUCCGCUAGGAUCGGUGGAGUCGACGUUGAAAUACCACCCUGAUGGAGUCUUGGCUCUAACCUGUGGCCCUAAUCGGGCAUGGGGACAGUGUCUGGUAGGCAGUUUGACUGGGGCGGUCGCCUCCUAAAGAGUAACGGAGGCGCCCAAAGGUUCCCUCAGGCUGAAUGGAAACCAGCCGCAGAGUGUAAAGGCAUAAGGGAGCUUGACUGCGAGACAAACAAGUCGAGCAGAGACGAAAGUCGGGCUUAGUGAUCCUACGGUUCCGAGUGGAAGGGCCGCGGCUUAACGGACAAAAGCUACCCCGGGGAUAACAGGCUGAUCUCCUCCAAGAGUUCACAUCGACGAGGAGGUUUGGCACCUCGAUGUCGGCUCGUCGCAUCCUGGGGCUGAAGUAGGUCCCAAGGGUCCGGCUGUUCGCCGGUUAAAGCGGUACGCGAGCUGGGUUCAGACCGUCGUGAGACAGGUCGGUCUCUAUCCGCUGUGGGCGAAGGGGAUUUGAGAGGGGCUGCCCCUAGUACGAGAGGACCGGGGUGGACAGACCGCUGGUGUACCAGUUGUCUCGCCAGAGGCAUGGCUGGGUAGCUAAGUCUGGCAGCGAUAACCGCUGAAAGCAUCUAAGUGGGAAACGCGCCUCAAGAUGAGAUCCCCCACUGUAAAAGGGUAAGUGCACCGGGAGACUACCGGUUAGAUAGGCGGCAGGUGUACGCACUGUGAGGUGUUGAGCCGAGCCGUACUAAUGCACGAGGACUUAAUCUA